rnacentral:rRNA from 1 species
UACGUAGGUGGCAAGCGUUGUCCGGAAUCAUUGGGCGUAAGGCGCGCGUAGGCGGCCUCGUAAGUCCGUUGUGAAAGUCAAAGGCUCAACCUUUGAAAGCCGAUGGAUACUGUGAGGCUAGAGUCCGGAAGAGGCGAGUGGAAUUCCUGGUGUAGCGGUGGAAUGCGCAGAUAUCAGGAGGAACACCAAUAGCGAAGGCAGCUCGCUGGGACGGUACUGACGCUAAGGCGCGAAAGCGUGGGGAGCGAACAGG